AUGACCGCUGACAGAAUGCUUUAACACAUGCAAGUCUACUUGAAUUUGGGUUUUUAACUUAGGUUUGGUGCGGACGGGGUGAGUAACGCGUAAAGAACUUGCCUCACAGCUAGGGACAACAUUUAGAAAUGAAUGCUAAUACCUAAUAUUAUGAUAAUAGGGCAUCCUAUAAUUAUGAAAGCUAUAUGCGCUGUGAGAGAGCUUUGCGUCCUAUUAGCUAGUUGGUAAGGUAAAGGCUUACCAAGGCGAUGAUAGGUAGCCGGCCUGAGAGGGUGGACGGCCACAAGGGGACUGAGAUACGGCCCUUACUCCUACGGGAGGCAGCAGUGGGGAAUAUUGGACAAUGGAGGAAACUCUGAUCCAGCAAUUCUGUGUGUGUGAAGAAGGUCUUCGGAUUGUAAAACACUUUUAGUUGGGAAGAAACAAAUGACGGUACCAAC
rnacentral:rRNA from 1 species